UACGUAGGGUGCGAGCGUUAAUCGGAAUUACUGGGCGUAAAGCGUGCGCAGGCGGUUUUGUAAGCCAGAUGUGAAAUCCCCCGGGCUCAACCUGGGAAUGGCAUUUGGGACUGCAAGGCUUGAGUUUGGCAGAGGAGACUGGAAUUCCUGGUGUAGCAGUGAAAUGCGUAGAUAUCAGGAGGAAUACCGAUGGCGAAGGCAGGUCUCUGGGCUAUAACUGACGCUCAUGCACGAAAGCGUGGGGAGCAAACAGG
rnacentral:rRNA from 1 species